UACGAAGGGGGCUAGCGUUGUUCGGAAUCACUGGGCUUAAAGGGCGCGUAGGCGGGCUGUCCAGUCUGGGGUGAAAUCCCGCGGCUCAACCGUGGAACUGCCUCAGAUACUGACGGCCUCGAGGGAGAUAGGGGCAUGCGGAACUGUAGGUGGAGCGGUGAAAUGCGUUGAUAUCUACAGGAACUCCGGUGGCGAAGGCGGCGUGCUGGAUCUCUUCUGACGCUGAGGCGCGAAAGCUAGGGGAGCAAACGGG
rnacentral:rRNA from 1 species